CUUGCGCUGAUUACGUCCCUGCCCUUUGUACACACCGCCCGUCGCUACUACCGAUUGAAUGGUUUAGUAAGGUCCUCGGAUUGGCGCCAUUGCAGUGUCAGCCGCAAGGUUGGUGCUCGACAGGUGCCGAGAAGACGACCAAACUUGAUCAUUUAGAGGAAGUAAAAGUCGUAACAAGGUUCCGUAGGUGAACCUG
rnacentral:rRNA from 1 species